rnacentral:misc_RNA from 1 species
GUCCUUUUUUUGCAAUAUUAGGCAUGAAAUUAUUAAGAUUUAAUCCCUAUUAUUAUAAUCUAUUAACCACUGAAAGUUUUCGUUUAUCAAAAAGUUGUAUUAGGUUUCAAUCUGACGUGGAAGCAAUUCCUAAUACAGCAUUUAAGUUUUUAUCCAUACAAGCAAGCAAUUCCAUUGAAACAUAUAAACUCGAACAAGUAUUGCAGAGAUGUUUAAAAAUAUACGAAAAAUUUGCCACAGAAGAAGAAGAAAGUUUCUUUGAUAAAGAAGUUUCUUUAUCAUUUAGAAGAAAAAAAUAUGAGUAUGGACACUGGGAUGGGGCUAUUGAAGGUUUUAGAGAAGUUGAAAAGACAAUCUGGUCCAAAGAAUGCCAGCUAAUCUUAGAUCGCGUAGCAAAUAAAGUGUUUGGAGAUGAUAUUGAUUCCAUGCAACCAUUUACUCAUGUGCUUGAUUUAGCAAAAAAUGGAUAUAUAAAGCCUCACACCGAUAGUGUUAAAUUUUGCGGCUCUAAAAUUGCUGGGUUAUGCUUACUUUCUUCUGCAGUGAUGCGUUUUGUGAGUUCAUCAAAUUCAAAAUUGUCUGUUGAUGUUCUUAUGCCACGAUAUUGUCUUUAUGUAAUGAGCAAUGAUUUACGUUAUGAUUUUACACAUGAGAUUCUCAGUGAUGAAAAAUCUUUUUGGAAUGGUCAACAUAUUCCUAGAGAUCGUAGGCUGGCAAUUUUAAGAAGAAGCAAACCUGUUUCUAACCUGUAGAAUUACAAUUUUAAGAAGAAGCAAACCUGUUUCUAACCUGUAGAAUGACAAUUUUAAGAAGAAGCAAACCUGUUUCUAACCUGCAGGCUGACAAUUUUAAGAAGAAGCAAACCUGUUUCUAGUCAAUAAACAUGGGAAAGCGGGGCAUCAUGGUGAAUGUUUUGAAAGCCCUGAAGUAUUGCAAAGCUAUCAGUCGCGAAGCAAAAAUACUUUCUCAGUAUGUUUAUGUUAUUAAAAUGAUUA